AUUGAACGCUGGCGGCAGGCUUAACACAUGCAAGUCGAGCGGGGUGAUGGUGCUUGCACUAUCACUUAGCGGCGGACGGGUGAGUAAUGCUUAGGAAUCUGCCUAUUAGUGGGGGACAACAUCUCGAAAGGGAUGCUAAUACCGCAUACGUCCUACGGGAGAAAGCAGGGGAUCACUUGUGACCUUGCGCUAAUAGAUGAGCCUAAGUCGGAUUAGCUAGUUGGUGGGGUAAAGGCCUACCAAGGCGACGAUCUGUAGCGGGUCUGAGAGGAUGAUCCGCCACACUGGGACUGAGACACGGCCCAGACUCCUACGGGAGGCAGCAGUGGGGAAUAUUGGACAAUGGGGGGAACCCUGAUCCAGCCAUGCCGCGUGUGUGAAGAAGGCCUUAUGGUUGUAAAGCACUUUAAGCGAGGAGGAGGCUCAUUUGGUUAAUACCCAGGAUGAGUGGACGUUACUCGCAGAAUAAGCACCGGCUACUCUGUGCCAGCAGCCGCAGUAA
rnacentral:rRNA from 1 species